UUCAAAAGUCUUUGGAGGAUGUAAUAGUUGUACUAUAUCCUCUAAAACCUUGCAUUCUUUGUUAAGUGUAAAUUGCAAGGCAGGCAUCGGGGUGGGAGAAGCUUGGCCUCCUGGCUGUGUUUGUUCCCUUGAUUGUGGUGCCUGUAAAUUCCUUUGACUGUUAUGUUUCUAUUUUCUCUCAAGGUAUAAUCAUUAGCUGUGAUGACCUGGGACUAACUUAUUUUCUGACCAUUCUUGUCUUUCACUGCUUCUCACCUCUGGUUAUUUUAGAGUUUCAUUGCCAAGACAUUUUUUCAAAAAUUCAAAUAAAGGGGCAGGCGUGGUGGCUCACACCUAUAAUCUCAGCACUUUGGGAAGCCCAGGCAGGUGGAUCAGUUGAGGUCAGGAGUUCGAGACCAGCAUGGCCAACAUGUUGAAAUCCCAUCUCUACUAAAAAUAGAAAAAUUAGCCGGGCAUGGUGGCAGGCGCUUGUAGUCCUAGCUACCUGAGAGGCUAAGGCUCAAGAAUCGCUUGAAUGUGGGAGGCAGAGGCCACAGUUAGCUGAGAUCGCGCCACUGCACUCCAACCUGGGCAACAGAGUGAGAUUUCACCUCAAAAAAAAAAAAAGAAAAUUCAAAUAAA